rnacentral:lncRNA from 1 species
GCGGGGGCUGGGGUCUCCUGACCUCCUCCCUUCCUUGGGACAGGGCCCUGUGCAGUGGGGUAGGCAGGGAAUUCCAGGGGGGUGAGUGGGGAGGGUGGGCCUGCCUGUGUCACUGGAGCUGGGAUGGUGACAGAGAGGCCGCCCCGGGCCUGUCAGCACGGACGGGCAGCUCACUCCCACGUCAUGGCACUAUGCGGGUGACUUGCCACAGCUUCACUUGAGGCGAGGUGCCGUUGGGGGCCUUGCGACUCUGAGGCCGCCGGUCAGCAGAUCAGACUGAGGUGAUGGUGUCCAUUCCACUCCCGACCAGACUGAGGUGACGGUGUCCAUUCCACUCCCGACCAGACUGAGGUGACGGUGUCCAUUCCACUCCCGACCAGACUGAGGUGACGGUGUGCAGGUGGCAGAGCCACACACGAGAGGCAAGAGGCAGGGAGGGAGGUGGGGGCUGCUGGCCACUCACAGGGGGCCCCAGUGUCCUGCUUGGGCUGCUCAUUUGGCACCAGUCCACGGCUCCCUCCGCCACCUUUGUUCUCACUGGAAGCAGAAUGAGCCUGGCCCUGUAGUUCCCACCUGGGGCC